rnacentral:lncRNA from 1 species
AAAUGACAAAAAUUAAAAUUAAUUAUACAAUCAAAACCACAUUAUAUUUUUAUAAUUUAUUCUUUUCCUUUAUCUCUUUUCCUUUCUUUUAAUUAUUUUAAUUUUAAAUAAUACAAAUAAUCAAAAUAUUCAUCUCCCAGGAAUUCAAUCAUCCCCCAAUUUUUUCCGGCCAAAAUCAAUUAAGCCUCUAAAUUAUACCCAAAUUCGAACUGAAAAUGAAUAGAUCUAGCAUCAUCCUCAAUUUGAACUGAAAUAGAAUCCUACAGUCCUUCAAUUAAGACGCCCAAGGCACUGAACCACCGGAAAAUCUAAACGGCGCAGGGGUAAAGUCCACACUCCAUGGAUUCCGGCAAGGUUAAACCCAGAAUCGCUUUGACCAUCACAAAUUCCAACAUAGCAACCAAUCACAGCAUAAGACAGAACAUGGUAGAUAUUUCGUCCAUUCAAAACACCCAUGUACAAGAAGAGCUAACAUAGGAAACAGAUCUAAACACCCAUGAACAAGAAGAUAUGAACAUAGGAACAACAACUUCGAAAACAUCCAAUCUGAAAAUAAAUAGAUAAACAGUAAAGCAUAAAAGACAGAUUGGAAACACACAUAAUCAAGUCAUCCGUGUAAUCAAAAAUCAAACCACCGGAAUCAUAGGUUCCAUAUUCUCGCCCAUAAAACCGAACCUAGAUGCCGGAAAAACAGUUCAAGAUCUAAAGGAGAUCAGUUCCGAACGGAUCCCUCACGUCCAACACCUCAAACCCAAUAAACCAUGAUUUUGGAGAGUACCCUAACCAUCCAAAGCUUCUUCAUUACUUGAUGAUGCUCAUAUGCUCCCCUCUGUAAUUUGUUUAUGGACCCAAAGUACUUCUCAAAGUUUAGAAGAAGAGAGAGGAAUGGAAUUUAAAAUUUAUGCC